AGAAAUGACUCCCGAGAGAAGGAACAGAUGGUCUCGAGGGUGUGGACACUGCUGGAUAUCCCCUGCCCCCAGGGAGCUUACAGUCUCACUAGGACUUUGCAGAUAGGACAGGAGAGUGAGCGCUGACUCCAGCUCUGCUUCUGACCCACUCCUGGCCUUCCUGUUUAUCCCUCAAUAAAAUCAAGCGCUGGAGCUCCGUGACCUUGAAGACCAUUUCCUGCUGUGAUAUUAAUACCACCACUAAUAAUAACAGUAGCGGUGGAGGCAGGAGCAAGCGUCCUAAUAUUAGCUGCACCUGUCGAGAGCCUGUCCAUGUGUGAUGAUGUCAGCCCUCCAGAGCCCUCCCUGCUCCCUGAGCCGCAUUCAUCAGCUCCAGGGUGAUGAUGGGAGGAACUGCUGCUCAGCUGCUGGUCCUGAGGGGACAGGAGCCGCGCAGACAUCAAGGCUAUUUUGGUUGAGCUCUGAAGAUGGUAAGGGACAGAGGGGCUCAAGGAAUGGAGGAGGGCCAAGUGACAAGCCCCAUCUUUGGAGCCUGGGUGAAUGAAACCAGGGUGUUUCAGAGCCAGACGUGUGGUGUAGACCUUUUGGGAACCAGGGAGCACGAGGUGCAUUCGUUCUGGGGCUGCAGUUCACACGUGAUGCUGUGUAUAUCCAGGUCCCUUGCUUCUAACUUGAUUCUAUUCUGUGCAAACUACCGCGUUCCUUCUUCCUCUCCGUGUGUCUGGCCUGGGCCUGAGUCCCUGAGCUUCAAAGAUGUGGCCGCCCCAUGGUCUCAAAGUUCCUCUUGACUUCUCUCCCAGACCUCUUGGCGACCCGCCAGCCCAAUUCACUCUGCACAGCACAGCGGAAGUCAUCUUUCUGCCCCGCCUCUUCACAUAACACUGUCUGCCUCUGGAUUGGCUGACCUUUGGUCAGGCUCCACCCCUCAUCCAAUCAGCUAUGGUAGGCGGGAACCUCCUCCAAUCAGUGGAUCCUCAGGACUCUUACUCUUCUAAGUUGCUGGGAGCCCCAGGUUGUUUCGGUUACCUGGCUAACAACGUGUCUCUCAAUUUUUAUCAUAUUAGUAACUGAAAUAGAGAAAUUAUAAAAUAUUUGUUAAUUCUUUAAAAGUACCAAGACUAUGCCAUUCGGUGAACAUAGUUUCAGGAUUGCAAGAUUGUGGAUAAGUGUGCAGAAGCCAAACACAUUCCAUUUCUUAUGCCAUGCUGUUACUGCUUGAGUGGGGCUUGCUCCACGGCCUGGGACACAUGUGAGCACUCAUGAAUCGAUUCCCCAGGCGACCUCCGUGUACCUCCUCCCGCUGCCUCUCCUUGCUGAAAGCAACAAAACCCCUCCAAAAAAACAAAAGACAUCAGUGCAUCAGAAUUCAUGGGGCGGAUGACAGCGUUUGAAUUGGAAAUCACCGAGGUGGUCUGGUUUCUAUUCGUUAUCAGAGCUUUAUUCAAGCAACAGGAAUCUGCUAAGGUUUGGUGCAGUUCCCCAAAUAUUUAUCGAGUGCCUUCUCCUUGUUCAGCCACGUGCUGGAUCUGGCGAUGUGAUCAACCAUUCGGGGGUGGGGGGAAGCCUUGACCUCCAAGUCCUGGCUCUACUCCUUGCCACCUGCGUGACCCUGGGCAAGUCACCUUCCUUCUCUGUGCUUCAAUUUUCAUAAGAAAAUGUGAAGAUUUUUUUUUUAUUAACAGCCACUGAAAUACCAUGUGUAGUUAUUGUUUUAUUAGGAACAAUAAGAAGACACGGCCCUGCUCCCGGGGCAGUCAUGGUUCAGUAAGUGAAUAGCUAAGAUCCCGGGAGCUGGAGGUGGGGAGGGCAGCACGCAGGAGAAGCUGUGGCUCGAAGCAGGGGGUAUCCUUGAAUAGGUAAUGACUUCCUAGCAUAGCGGUGACCCUGCCCAGCCCUUCAGAAGGAAGGUGCACAGCAUGUGGAAUUUGGAGAAGCCCCUGCUAGGUUUUGGGGGAUGUGGAUCUCAUCUGUACUAGCCCUCUUACUCAGCUACUGCCUCAAAUUCUCCUGUUUUUGGUAUUUUGGGGUGGGGUUCAGGAGGCAAAGGGCUGCAGUGGCAAUGGUUUGGUUCUCUGGAGGGUUUAUGAUGAGAUGGCUGCAGAAGCGAGGUGAGGGGAAAAUUCUGAGGAGGAGGGCAAGGCUCGGGUAGCUUGAGAGCAGCUCUCACACUCACCUCCCAUUUUCCAUGUCCAGUGCUGAGCCUCCACUGUCUCAGGAGUUUGAACAGGACAGGGAGGCAGCGAGGUUCUGAGUUUCAGUGGUGAUCAGAAAAGAGGGGUGUCUGGUUCUCAGGCUGCAUGGGCAAGAUUGGACUGGGCGAGGGGUGGGGAAGGCAGGUGGGAGAUGCAAAAGAUACUCAGGCAGUUGGGACAAUUGAGCAGGUCAGAGGGACUAACCUUUUGAUGUAGGAAAGGGUCUUUAGAUCUGCCAGGCUGGAUGCAGUACCCAUCAGGUCCCUGGUCCUAAAGCCAUUGCCUUCUAUGUUCCCUAGUUCCUCCCUUGCCCCUUCAUCUUCAGUCACCUCCCAUUUCUACCCUGUCAAGUGCUCUGUGAGUGUGGUCCCUAUGGAUGGAAGCAUAGAAUACACUCAUUCACUGGCUCCUGGCUGAGUUCAGCCAGUGUGAGGUGUUGCACUUAAUAAUUCUGCACAACUCAUUAUACCGUAGCCUAAAACAACCAGUGUUUGAAUUUACCUAUAGAUGCCAUAGGUCACAAAUUUGGAAGGUACGUGUGGAAAUGGCUUGCCUCUAUUCCACAGCAGAUGGGAUCUCAGGCUGGAAGACGUAGAGGCUGGGGAUGGACCCAUCUGAAGUCUCCCUCACUCACAUGUGUUACAAUGGAUGCUCUGGGCUGGGAGCUCAGUUGUGAUAGCUUGGAGUCACCUGUAUGUGGCCUCUCCACAUGGCUUCUUGGGCUUCCUCCCAGCAUGGUCGCCACCUUCCAAGAGAGCAUCUCGGAGAGGAGCUGCUCAUGCUGCUCGUGCUUUGUGGUCAGGAGGAAGCCAUCAGCCCUGCAGACCCCAACUGAGCCCAGGAGCCAGUCCUCCUGAAGCCUUCAAGCACCUGCUCUGCUGGCUGGACCCAGUUGCUGGCCAGAUGUGACUUCAUGAACUGCAUCUGCAGGCUGGGGGGACUCCUGGAAGCCCACCAGGCCUCCACCAUGCUUGGGUCCACUAACUGAGGGAUGGACAGCAAAGUGGGGGGCUCGAGCGGAUCAGGGGGCUUGACUUGCCCAAGGCGCAGUGAAGUAGGGGCAGCCCACGGCACAGGUAUUUGGGGGACGCUGUUGAUGGAGUCAAUGAGAAAGUGCCUCCUGGGGAUGAGGAGUGGAGUGGCAAGCCCCAGGUGAGCAGAGCCACUCACCUGGAUGUUCCCUCUUCCCCUAUUCUAGAGGGGGAAAAACAAACAGAACAUCUGACAGCAAAGCCAGGCUGUGCGAUAAUUCUAUUCCCAGAUCAAAUCACAGCGCAGGGAAUGCGUUAUCAUCAACGUGAUUACCUUGGGGGACAGAGACAGAGAGUUUUAUUAAAUGAGACAAUCUUGCUAAAAGGAAGCCUUACAUUAGACUUUGGGCCUUAAACAACAUUAGUGUCAGGAGCUGACAAACACUCGGCACGCGGUGUCUGAAAGCUCGGGAGCCAGCGCCUCAGUGGGGUCGCUGGGGCUGGUGCGUCCAGGGUGGAGACGGAUGAGGCAGCCCUCCACCCUGUGGCCGCCACACCCGGCCAGUGGCUCUUCGUCACCACGCAGAGCAGUUCAGGCCCAGCUCUUCUCUCAGGCCAGCAGGGACCACCUUCUUGGUGACACUGGGGGCUGGGAAUACUCUGUGGCACUAAAGGAGAGAGACUUGCACUUCUUGCUUGGGGAACAGAGAUCCUGAGACUCAACAGGCCCCCAGCAGAGGCACAGGUUGGUUUCCACAUGGGAUCCACACUCCCCUCUGUGAUGAGGGGCCUCGGUUGUCCUGGGGCUCUGCAGUUACAGCAAAGCCUGUGCCCCUCAGCGGGCUAGGGCGUGUACUUUGGAGAUAAAAGGUCUGGGAAGUUUGAGUUCAGGUCCUGCUUCACCACACUUGUGACCUUGAGCCUGUUAAUUAAUGUCUUCCGAUGUCCAUCUCCUUGCCUAUAAAAUGGGUUAACUGGUACUGACUUCAUAGGGACUGAAUGAAUUGGUCCAGACAGCUCCUAGUUCAGAGCCUGGCACACAGGGAGUGUCUGUCAUGUUCUCUUUGCUGUGUCUUGGCUGUUGUCCCUGCCCUGUGUCCCCUGACCCUAAUGUAUCACUGGUAUGGUUUGAAUAUCGAAUGGAUCUCAAAACGAUUUGUGUUAAAGGUUUGGCCCCAGACUCUGGUGCUGCUGGGAGGUGGUGGGGCUUAGUAGAAGGAGGUUAGGUCGCUGGGGGCAUGUGUUUGAAGAGGACAUGGGAAGCCUGGCUGCUCCUUUUUCUUUCUCUUUCCUUCAGGCUGUGGUGAAAUGAGCUGUUUGCUGCACCGCGAGCUUGCCACGAUGAUGUGCCACCUUGUCACGGGCCCAAAGCAACUGGGCCAACUGACCAUGGAUUGGAACUUCUGAAAUAAACCUUUCUUCCUUAUAA